AGUGAACGUUGGCGGCGUGGAUUAGGCAUGCAAGUCGAGCGAGAACCGUAGCAAUACGGGGACAGCGGCGAAAGGGACAGUAAUGUGUAGGUACCUACCUCCGGGUUCGGGAUAGCUGCGGGAAACUGCAGGUAAUACCGAAUAACGUCUCCGGACCAAAGGUGUGAUUCCACCUGGAGAGGGGCCUGCAUCCUAUUAGCUUGUUGGCGGGGUAACGGCCCACCAAGGCGACGAUGGGUAGCGGGUGUGAGAGCACGACCCGCGUCAUUGGGACUGAGACACUGCCCUGACACCUACGGGUGGCUGCAGUCGUGAAUCUUCGGCAAUGGGCGCAAGCCUGACCGAGCGACGCCGCGGGCGGGAUGAAGGCCUUCGGGUUGUAAACCGCUGUCGUAGAGGAGGAAAUGCAGGGGGGUUCUCCCCUCUGUUUGACCUAUUCUAGGAGGAAGUACUGGCUAAGUUCGUGCCAGCCGCCGCGGUAA
rnacentral:rRNA from 1 species